AUCGAACGCUGGCGGCAGGCCUAACACAUGCAAGUCGAGCGGAUGAAGGGAGCUUGCUCCUGGAUUCAGCGGCGGACGGGUGAGUAAUGCCCAGGAAUCUGCCUGGUUGUGGGGGAUAACGUCCGGAAACGGGCGCUAAUACCGCAUACGUCCUGAGGGAGAAAGUGGGGGAUCUUCGGACCUCACGCUAUCAGAUGAGCCUAGGUCGGAUUAGCUAGUUGGUGGGGUAAAGGCCUACCAAGGCGACGAUCCGUAACUGGUCUGAGAGGAUGAUCAGUCACACUGGAACUGAGACACGGUCCAGACUCCUACGGGAGGCAGCAGUGGGGAAUAUUGGACAAUGGGCGAAAGCCUGGUCCAGCCAUGCCACGUGUGUGAAGAAGGUCUUCGGAUUGUAAAGCAGUUUAAGUUGGGAGGAAGGGCAGUAAGUUAAUACCUUGCUGUUUUGACGUUACCGACAGAAUAAGCACCGGCUAACUUCGUG
rnacentral:rRNA from 1 species